CUACGUCUUCAGGGCGGGGUGCGAUUCCCCACCGGCGGUAUGGUCGCAAGACCGAGCCCGCGAGCGCUUUCGCCAUCAGGCGGAAGGUCAGCAGAUCUGGUGCGAUGCCAGAGCCGACGGUAAUAGUCCGGAUGAAAGAAGACGACG
rnacentral:ncRNA from 2 species